rnacentral:sRNA from 1 species
UUUCCUGUAGUAAAGAAAAGUAAACGGGUAGGUUAAUUGUGAAUAUAAAGUAUUUAAGGGAUUUUUAUAAAUGUAUUCAUAAAAUAAUAUAAAGAUGUGCCUUUCCACAAAAUGUGAUCCUUUUCAGGUUUAUUAUGAAAGGUCAAAUUGUGUUCCAGGUCAGUGAAACCCUUCAGGAUAUAGUACUCAGGAAAUAUUUUAUGACUUGACUUGGCAAUGAAAAAGGGCUGAUUUGGAGAAAUGGGAAUGGCCAACAUAAGCACAGAAGCUGUACCCCAGAAAAAAGGAUUAGAAGGACAAAGAUCAGAUAAAUGAGCAGACAGGGUCCUGUUGUGGGUUCCAGCAGAGGGACCUAGAGGUGACACUGAAUACAUGAUUUCUGUCUGAGUCUUCAAGGUCUGUAGAAAUGUUAGAUGCAUCCGGUGGCUCAUUUGGGAAACAGCCCUGAGGAGAAAACUCUCAGUUUUCAAAAAAAAAAUAGAAAGAGAAAAAGAAGAGAAAGAAGAAGAGAGAUGACAAAAAGGCCGAAGUGUAAGAAAAAGGACCCAGGGACAGGUGCCAGCUCGGCCGGCCGGAGGUUGGCUGGAGGGGAAGGUUAGAGAUUUCCUUUCCCACCACCCAGACAGUGCCACUGGCAAGGACAUUGGGAUCUUGGAUCGAUCCCAAACGCCCCGGAAAGUAAGUACUCCUUUUCAGAGCCAUGAGAGAGGGAAGCAGGAAGCCAAAGCCAGCCCCUGGGGAGUGAAGGAGGAGAUGCUGGUGCCCCAGCAAAGCCACACACCUUCUCUGAACUUGGUGAGCGCAGAAAUGAGAGUUGGAAUUUUACCUACCACCCACCGAUUCAAGAAGACAACUUGAAGUACCCACUGCCUCCCUCCCCCCGCCCUUUUGAGGGUGUUUUGAGUUGCCAGGGAUAACCUUGGAUUUAGCCUCGUCCCUCAGCCUCCAGAGUUGUGGGACUGCAGUCACGUGCCCCCAAGCCUAUUUUAUAGGACAGUGGCAAAACUUUCGAUAGGCAAACUUUGUAUGGGCUGAGCUGCAGCUGCACCCCACUUUCUUGUUUAUUUUUUUUUUUUUUGUUUUUAGUGAUGUUUUAUUGUUUUUUCUUUUUCCUCCCAGACUGGGUCGCUUUCGCCCUAGCUAACCUUGAAUUCAAGUCAAUCCUCCAGCGUCAGCCUCUCAAGUGCUUGCCCGCAGGUGUGUACCACUCAUGCCCAUUCCAUAAAUGGAACGUUCAGUGACUAUGAGGCACUGGUCACUGCUACCGCUUUAUUCUGCUCAGCCAGCCUCAGCAGCAUCCUGGAGAGACCAGCUCUGCUACUCCGCCUGGAGCCCACCCUCCUGACCUCGAACUUCAGCUACAGAGUGAGACCACACCCUUCCCGUCCACAGGGCAGUGAUGUAAAUGUGGUGUGGAAGAGACUAGGAGGACCUAGCCCAGAGCCUCCUGCAGGGGGAAGUGGCCAUCAAUGGUGGCCUUUAUGGUGGCUGGCCUCGGAUGGGACUGGGAAGGAGUCAGAGCUUGGGAACAGAGGGAGCUAUUGUAUGAGGGAGCGGGGUGCUCCCUGAAGAGAGCAGCAAGAGUCCUCACCCGCCAGACCCUUGCUGGCCCUACUUCAUUAUUUGUAGUGGCAUUCGCCCAUCAGCCUGGGAGUCCGUGGAGGGAACUCUACCAGCACAGCAGCCGCCACAUUUUCCCAUACCCUGGAUUUGCCCGCUUCCAUCCAAGAUUAACCACCUUCCACUGUGCGAACAUUGUCUCAGACAGCAUUCGCGAUGUGGCCUCAGAGCAGAUAAAGGGCUGUUCAUUGUCACUGCAGAAGGAAAUGGGGGAAGGUCCCUCCAGCGUGCCCUGCUAGAGAUGACAACUGGGUGCGCCUCCUCAUUCCGUGACCUCUUGACCUUAGCCACCCGUGGGAGAAUUUACACCAUGGAAAGAGGCCAAUGCCGUAGCCCAGGACAAGCUGCAGAAGCAUUUAUCAGCACAAUCACUGUCCCCAAGGAAUUGGAAAUGGUGACUUGGUCCUGAACACCCCACUUAGGGCAUCAGAUUGGUUUCCUGUGCAGGAGGCCAGGUGUGAGAGAAGGGUUAGGGGGAUAGCACCCUCUACCCUAACAAGCCGAGGGUCCCUACUCCCAAGCCUCAUUUCCUGCCAGCCAGCUGGACCCCGGAUGUUUCUGAGAGCUGACCUUGACCCUCCCUGCUGAUGAAGGCUGGAGCUAUAGUGGAAGGAAAUUCGACACGCCAGGAAUGGCUCCCUCCAAAGGACACAGGCUCAAGAAGCCUUCUGCCCAACCCGGCUGAGGGCAGAACUGGAUCAGAACUGAAUCCUUGAGAUGACUUCUCUCACAGGGGCAGAGACAACUUUGAGUCACUCUGGCUGUCAGACCCUUAUUAAUAUCUGCUAUGUUUGCAGAUUCCAUCUUCGUAAGUCACUUUGUGAUAAAGUGGCUUCCUGCGGCCGGCUCAUCUGGACGCAGUAAUGUUUUCAUUGAUCUGCUGAUGCGUGCAUCCUGCUGCACCGGAUGGAAGGCUGCCUCUAACAGCCGGAUUCUCGGGUAUCAAAUUCCAGGAACAGCUCCAAGGCCAGGCACCUCUGACACUCCCAUUGUCAGUGAGCUCAGCCGUGGGCUGCAGAGGUAGGUCUGUGAAGGCCUUCCAGUACAACCGGCCUCCUACUCCUAGGUGUCCCUUGCCUCUGGACUCUGUGUCCAACACAGUGCCUGGUACCAUAAGGUGCUUUAUUGCCACCAGUGCAGUCAACAUGCAAUAGAUGACAAAUGACUCUGGCUUAGGCAGGAUGGAUGACUUCAAAAUAGUUCACAGACCUCAGAUCACAUUACUGUGAGUCUGUCUGUCUGUCUGUCUGUCUGUCUGUCUGUCUAUCUAUCUAUCUAUCUAUCUAUCUCUCCUUCUCCCUCACCCUCCAUCACCCUCUCUCAUAAGAAAAAAGUAAAAAACAGCUCAUGGAUGUGUUUCUAUACCUGCGUUUGACAAAUGUUUUGUGUGCUAAGAUAGCUCAGCGGUGUGCAGGGGCAGCUUCUAUGGUCUGGAGUGGGGCCUUUCCAGAUUCUGGAUAUGUUCAAGGGGCUACCAGGGCCUGGAUUCUAGAACAAGAAAAGAUGGCUGUGGCUAGUAAGCCCCUCCCACAUGGCUGUGCAUACCAGGAAACAACCCAGGCUUCAUUCUGCUGUGCUCUCUGACUGGUAGACCACUCUCUGUGGUACCACCCUUUGUGGGACAGCAAAGGGUGCCCGUUCUAGCCAGCAUCAGUCAUCUUUCUUCAUUGCUAUGACACCUGACAGACCUGAUUUAAAGGGGGAGAAAUCUAUUUCAGCUCACAGUUUUGAGGGUAAGACCCAGCAGGGCAGGUGAAUCAUGGUAUUGAGAGCUACUCUGUGAUGGCAAGAGCUUACAGCUGCUGCUGCUUCACAUCUUGGUGGACCAGGAAGUAGAACGAAGACCAGUUCCCAAUGACUCAUUCCUGUUAAUCAGCCGAGGGUCACAUUCAAACUAUACCGGUGUAGACCAGUGUCCUAGAACCUUUUGGUUAUGUUUUCUUAUUACUCCAGAAAGUUCUGGAACUUUGUUCUGGGUCCCCAUUGCUAGGGAACAAGCCACCCCCAAACUGGGGAGGUUUGAGAAGACAGAGCAUGCAAGACCUAUUGUGGGGUGAGGCUCUGGUUUAUUCAAAGGUGCACUGUCCCUCCUGAGGUGCUCUCUUCUCUCUCCUUCCUACUGCCUGUCUUGGCAGCAACAGGACAGGGCCAUGCCAGGUUAGCCUCCUGUGACUUUUAGGGCAUGCUAUUCUCAAGGGCUGUGGGACUCUUAACUGCCUGCUUGAGGCUGUGUAAGUCCCAUUGUCCUGGUGAACAAGGGACAAGCUGUGUGACUCCUGGUGACCCAGCCCGGGACUCUGAAAGCAUGCUUUCCUUGGACUUCAUUGGCCAAUGUCAUCAUGGGAGAGCUAGGGAGUCUGUCUCUCUAAGUUUCGUGGCAAAGAAUUGAGCAGUGAUCUGGGUUAGGCAGACAGGAGGAAGUAGGGAAGCCCUUUCCCCUUGGCCGCUUUCUUUUCCUGUCUCCUCUCUCAGUUGGGGCACAUCUCUUAUCCUCAGCUUUUCUGCUCUUGAGAUCCUCGAAUAGGAAGAGCAUCCCCUUUCUGGGGAAGCAAACUCAGAGUGGGGGAUGUCAGACAGUUAGAAACAAUAAGCACUAUAGCACUUGUGCCUCGUGGCCCACCGGGUCCCUGGUACAGAGAUGGGAUCACAAAGUGUGACAAACACUCUUGGCCUGUAGGCUCCCACCCACUGACUUGCGACACUCGGACAAAGACUCAGCUUGACUUGGUGGUAGGAGUAUGUACCUACAGUAUAUACCAGCUACAUGAAAUACUGACCACCAUGCUUAAUACUGAUUGCCAGUGCAAUCUGAUCUUCGCAUGACUUGGGAGGGACUUUCUAGACUGAGUCAAUUGAGGUCAGAAGACCCAUUCUGAAUGUGACUGGCACCGUCCCAUGGGCUGUUUCUAGGCUGACUGAAAAGGAGAAGUCAAGUUGCAUGCCCGAAUUCGUCUCUCCUCAGUGCUUCCUGACGGCAGAUGCAAAGCGUCCAUCCAGCUGCCUCUUUCUGCUACACAGCAUACCUUCCCUGCCGAGAUGGACUGUCCACUCAACAUAUGAGGAAGAGAAGCUCUUUCCCGGCAAGUCGCUUCUAUCAAGAAUUAUAUCGGGGGCUGGAGAGAUGGCUCAGAGGUUAAGAGCACUGUCUGCUCUUCCAGAGGUCCUGAGUUCA